GAUGAACGCUGGCGGCGUGCCUAAUACAUGCAAGUCGAGCGAACAGACGAGGAGCUUGCUCCUCUGACGUUAGCGGCGGACGGGUGAGUAACACGUGGAUAACCUACCUAUAAGACUGGGAUAACUUCGGGAAACCGGCGCUAAUACCGGAUAAUAUAUUGAACCGCAUGGUUCAAUAGUGAAAGACGGUUUUGCUGUCACUUAUAGCUGGAUCCGCGCCGCAUUAGAUAGUUGUGACGGUAACGGCUUACCAAGGCGACCAUGCGUAUCCGACCUGAGAGGGUGAUCGGCCACACUGGAACGGAGCCACGGUCCAUACGCCUACGGGAGGCAGCAGUAGGGAAUCUUCCGCAAUGGGCGAAAGCCUGACGGAGCAACGCCGCGUGAGUGAUGAAGGUCUUCGGAUCGUAAAACUCUGUUAUUAGGGAAGAACAAAUGUGUAAGUAACUAUGCACGUCUUGACGGUACCUAAUCAGAAAGCCACGGCUAACUACGUG
rnacentral:rRNA from 1 species